rnacentral:lncRNA from 1 species
AUUUUACCAAUAUCAGAAACCAAGGAAAAAGAGGUGCAGUGUAAUAAAGUGGAUGUGCUGGCCAGGUUUCUGCCACUAUAACACGUAUCUGAAAUAAACCAAUUUGGAUAAAGAAUGU